UAUUCCAUGGCAAGCAGGCGGGAAAGAAGUAUCAAAGGGACGUUUAAAAAAAUGCACUUGGUAACUAGCAACGGGACUUUUGGCACAAUUCCUUGAGUUUGCUUGAGGUUAUGGAGGGGGGAUGGGAAGAAGAAAAGCAAGUCCACGCAGCACGUUUUCUUUAAAGAAGGGGAGGUUGUAUGGAGGCAAAACUAUAUAAAUUUUUUUUUUUUUUUUUAAGGAAACGUAUGUUGAUCUUCUGAAGCUGAAUCCUCAGGCAUUUGUGGCCCGUCCUUGCAGCCUGGUAUGUUUUUUGUGAGUGUGUGCGAGCGCUCUCAAUCAAACAGCAAUCAUGGCAGCUGUUUUUCUUCCAGCACAGCAGUUGAGCUGUCUCGCCCAAAUGCUUAUCAGCUUUUGACUCGGUGCCAAGAGAGUUAUAAGGGCCAAGCAGCCUGAGUUUGGCUGUGCAGCUGGUUUGGAAGUAAGGGCAUGAGAAAACAAAAUCACGAAGUUUUUCUGUCACAUAUAGUAUUUACUUUUUCAAAUAGCCAUUUUCAGCUCGGUAGGUUUGGGUUGGUUUUGUGUGUGUGUGUGUGUGCGCUGUAGUUCGUGGUCCUUGCGGACCGCUGUGUUACGCAGAGCAAUGUAGGUGUGUGAAUGCAGAGAGGAGCCUCUUCUCUCCGUUUAAUCCCGGGAGAUAUUUCCGUAGAAACCACCCCCCCACACACACCCCCACCUCCCCCAAUUAAAAGCUUCAUUAGCCGCACUGCCCUGUCAAGCAUAUUGCCAUAGCGUGGGUGCAUUUACAUUCCAGCGCAGCGCCUUUCCUCCCAUCGCUGCCUGUCUCCCGGUCCCCUCCCGGCGGCGCCGUCCCCAUCGCAGCCCCCGGCCCGCGGGGUACCCGCCGGGGUCGCAGCGGGGCCGGGCUCGGUGCGUGUCCGUGUGCCCGUGGCUGCGGGGGAUGGAACGGAGCCUGUCCGCGCAGGGCCGUGCCGCUUUCAUCAUCAGCUCCAGCCUGCUGCGUUUCGCUGGCUCACGUCCUCCUCCUCCUCCUCCUCCUUCUUCUCCUCCUCCGCCAGACUGCUCCAGUCGCUCACAAGAAGGAGGCUGGACUCUGGAAAGGCGGCUGCUGCUCGCAUUCCUGCUGCAAGGGCCUCCCCUUCAGACGGCCUUUGCCAGAGCAGAACUUUUAAAAAUGCUGCAAAUAGGAUCUUCUUUUUCUUCUGCUUGCCUGAGCCCUCCUCUCCCAGCGUUCCCGAGCGGGGCUGGUUCUCGCCUUUCCUGCGCUGUACAUCCCAAUGCAGAGGGCAAAGCGCCGAGGGCUCGCCCCUUCGCUCAUCCCUUUCCCUCACUCCCUUUUCCCUCUGUUAAGGAAAUGGAUUCCUUUGCCUGAGCAAUGAUUCGGGCUUUGCAGCGCCCAUUGUUGCCGGCGGGGCCGGUGCGGCGCGGGGCGAGGCCGCCUCCCGGGCCUGCCCGGCCGCGCAGAUGCGCCGCCUCGCCCGGAGCCUCCCGCCCGCCUUCCCGGGGACUGCGGAGCUGCGAGGGGAACACCCAGCGCCGCAUCCAUCGGCGGCUCCCGGGCCCCGUCCCGCCCUGCCAGGGUCCAGCUCUGGCCCUCAGAAGGGCGUCACUCACUGCGGAGCUGCUGCAGCACCCGAGGUCUGAACCCGUGGAUUCAGCAUGGAGAGCCCUCAUCUCCAGCAGCCAGGUGGAACAGACUGCUGGGAAAAGGGACUUUGGUGUGUGACAGCGAGAUUCACCAGUGCCCCUUCCACCACUGCAUAUCAGCCUGGAUGUAGUCACCCUGUCAGGAGUGUAAAAUUUACAGAAGAAAUUAUUUUAGCACUGGAAAAGCUCUUACUCAUCUGAACCACAUUCAAAAUGCAUGUUGAAAGUGGCCAAGCAGAAGUUCACCAUCCCACUGUCUGCAGGACUCCUGCAGAUCUUCUGAAGCUUAAGCUGUUCCAGCAUGUCUGUCUCAGGCUGUCCCUAAAAAGAAGAAGCAAUAAUCUGUCGGAAUGAAUUCAGAACACACAAAGUGGAGCCACUGGAGACUAAUCUGCAAAGUAUUCAGAUUCUGCUACCCAGCUGCUUCUGGGACUUCAUGCAGUUUGCCUCAUCUGAGAGAACUUCAGAUAAGUUACAUGGAAAACUGAUAGUAAAUCCCAGAGUACCAGAUUUUGCUGCACAUAAUUCAGAUGUAACACAUGGGACCAGUGAAUGAUGGUGUUGCUGUUGAGCAAAAAUUGGAAGGAAACUGUGAGGGUCAAUAGACUGAGAAAAUGAUCCUGCCCAUCAUCACAGGAAACCAUAACCCUCACCACUGUGGGACAGGAGUGAGCAGCAAUGACCAGCUUCACUGCCUUAGGAACAGCCCAUUAGCUGUAUUUUUCAGAUAAGUGUCGCUGAUAACAUGCAAAUCAGAAUCUGUUAACCACUGGCUGUUCCAGAUAUGACCUCAAAGCCAACGAGGGAGACUUCAUGUAGUAUGACUCAAAACCAGAUGUAUUUUGGUAAAAAGAAUUACUGAGGAACCAAGUUAAAAAUGAAAGAAGUGAAGACUGGUCAUCUGUGCAGAGGAAAUUACAAGAAAAAACUAUUGAUAGGUCUUCCUGACAGGUCUUUCUGAGGAGAAACAGCUGCAGAAUGUGGAAUCAGUUGUGUGAAAUUCCUGUUGGUGAGGCCUUUGACCUACAGCUUCUGCUGAGUGAUCAAAGAGAGAACUUUUGCAGGGCCUUCGGGGGAGUGGGAAAGGUGCAGUUUUGGAGAGCUGGACAUCACAUACCAAGUCAGAGAUGAUGGUGAUCAGUUUAAGUGUCCAGUUUUGUGUUCAGAGAUGGUAAGAUCCUCACUUUAGUGAUGCUGAAAGCCAGGGCAGAGGGCUUCCAUGCCCCUGUCCCCCUGCAGUGUGACCAGCUGCCCACAGGCUGGGAUUUGCCGAGGGAGACAACUCUCCUUGAUCCAUGUGGGGCUGAUGGAUGCAGCAUUUAUUGUGUUCUUUAAUUUAAAGGUUAGUUCACUGAUUAAGGUAGGGUGUUUGUUUUAAAAGUUUGCUUAUUUAUUAAAGCAGUGUUUAUAUUUUAAUACAGACUGAUAUGUCAGUUAUUCCCCCUUCUUUAGAUCUGCCCUGAAUGGGAAGUGUUGUUGUCUAUCAAACCAGGUGGCAGCCAAUAACAACCCCCUCAAACUCAAGUACAAGUUUGAGGCUGCAGAAGCUGAUGGUGUAGUGGCAGUUCUGCUAAUCCCCCUGACUAAGGUCUGUGUGGUACAGUGAGGUGUGUUUAGUGUGGUCAUCAGUUCAGAGCUGGGUUACUGCUCAGUUAGGAGUAUUGCUGAGUAGGCCACAGUUCCUCACAGUCUUGACAAAUUAAUUGAUCAGUCUUUGGGGUUUACUUAUGCAGAACUUGGGAAAUUCACUUAGAGAACCUCAGCUUUUCCCUGUUAGGAUAAUGAAGGAGUAUCUGGAAGCAUGUUAAACAAUCCCUCUAAUUCAGCAUCCAUUCCAAGUCAUAGUGGUGCCUUUCCUGAAGUGACAAGCUGGUUUGAUAAAGUAGAGUCAUGUAGGAGCUGGAAGUACACAAGUGCAGUUAUUAAAAAUGAAUGCUGUAUCCUGUUUCCUUUGUGUAUCUUGUCACUGACAUGACUUCACACGUUGCAAAUCUAUUAAACAUUUCAAGCACGGAACUGGGCUCAUUAAGCAGAAUGUUGACUGGUAUAGAGCAAACUGUUUCAAAUUCAAGACUGUCAACAUUUGUCUCCAGAGUUUUUUGUCUUCUAGGUUGUCGCCAAGCAAUCCAACUGUCUGGGAAUACAGCCUGUGCUUCCUGUGAUCAGAGUGUGACUGUCCUUUGGGGUGAGGUAGUAGGUUGUAUAGUUUUAGGGCUAUGCCCUGCCUGUCAGAUAACUAUACAAUCUACUGUCUUUCCUGAAGUGGCUGUGAUGUCAGCGCUGGAUGUCUCCGAAAGACAAUGCAGAUAUUUUUCAACUGUACCAUUCUCUGGCUCUGUCUGUAUGUUUGGUUCUUGUACACAGAUGUCCUUAGAGUGUUUCAAUUCCUGUAUUUCCCAGUCAGGCUCAAAAGCCAUUUCCUUCUGGCAUUUUUGGAGAGCAGGAGGGAUAUGAGUGCCAGGACACAGAAGUACCAAUCCACAGUAGAUUUGCUCACACAGAACUGUCAGGGACUGCAAUGGGAGUGGCUACUUGGAAACAGCUGAUCCUUUUCCCCCUUGUUUCUGGCAUUUGUGUUCAUAUUAAAUAUAAAAUGGUACUUUUGAUUCAGCAGCUGUUUAAAUCCACUUGGUGUAGGCUGUUUGAGAAACUACAAAGGGAUGAGCUGGACAAAACCCUGUGAAGAUGGCUUCAGUCAUUCGAGUUCUGCCCUGGAACUGGUAAAUUCUUGAAUUCUAAGUAAGAUGUCUCUUCAGUUAGUUUUGGGCACUGAUUUAACUCACUUUUAUUACAUAUUGCUGGUCUGGGAGGGACAGUGUUUGCUAGUGCAGUUCUCCUGCCUCUGGAGUCCUUCCACCAGUUCUGUCUGACUCCCAGGUACAGCUGUGGGGAAAGGCAGAGAGGUCACACAGGGCCUUUCUAAGGAUAAGAAAUGUGUGGGCUGGAGACUGAGAAGGUAAUUUACUUACAAGUGGUGAAAUGUUUCCUUCAGAAGAUGCCCGUGAUGCUCUAACAGGAUGAGGUAGUAGGUUGUGUGGUUUCAGGGUAGUGAUUUUGCCCCAAUCAGGAGAUAACUAUACAACCUACUGCCUUCCCUGAUAGGCAGCAUAACAACAUCAGUGUCUUAAUUCACAGAGAAAGGAGCUAAAGUACACUCCUGAGAUAUGCUUCUGAGACCAGCAAAGUAAGUCUAGAUACAGUUGUUGCUAUCCUGUCUCUAGUAGCUCUAAAUUUAGAUUUUAAGUGUAGAUUUUUGGUAACUGCCUGCAAAGUAAUUAACCUUUUUUAAGUCUUUAUCAUGAAAAUUGAAUUAAAGAAGUUUUAUUUAUUUCA